GGCUGGUCCGAAGGUAGUGAGUUAUCUCAAUUGAUUGUUCACAGUCAGUUACAGAUCAAACUCCUUGUUCUACUCUUUCCCCCUUCUCACAACUGCACUUGACUAGUCAAAA
rnacentral:Y_RNA from 1 species